rnacentral:tRNA from 1 species
GUCGGAGAUGGAAGAGGAGUUCGCGGCCGUCACCGUGCCGCCGUCGCGGAAGGCGGGCUUCAGCGUCGGGAUCUUGUCCAGCUUCGCCU